GAAGGAAUCAGGAGGCAGAGCACAUGGUUAAAGCAUGAGAUGUGAAACCAGGAAGAACCAGGUCUGAACCUUAGCUCCACCAGUGGUAGCUUCAAACCUUGGUCCUUUCUGAGCCUGCUUCUUCAACCGUAAGGGAACGCUACACUUCCUUAGAAAUUAAGAGUGUGUGCUACACUGCUUUACCAGAGCAAGGCCAAAAGCAGCUUCAAUUAUGGUACAACUGUGUGAAGACACAAUGCAAAACCACUCAAGAAUGCUCACUCAAAUGGAUUUUUACCAUGCUCAUCCCCUAUUCUCUUCUUGCAAUCGGGAUGCUGCCUGACUACCAACACACCUGCACAAAGCCCUCUGCAGCACCUGCCACUGGCCCAUGCUUUUGUCAUUGCCACCUCCAGCUCAGCCUCAUUCCCCUCCAGGCUCUGCUCCAACGCACAGGACCACAGGAACUCGGAAACGGGACCCAGAAAGUUGUUUUCUCAAGUGGAUGGAACAACACAAGCAAUCAGUAUCCUGAAACAGGCCCUGUUCCAACAAACUGACCCAGAAAGGUCUGGUUAGGAGGACAGGACCCUCACUAUACACUAUCACAUUUAAACUAAAAGGAUAUUAUGAAUUAUGUACACAUAUCAAGCUGAGAGGAAAGGAAAUCCUAUCAUCUUGCAGGCUUCCUAAUGAUCUUACUUAAAACUGAGUUACUGC
rnacentral:lncRNA from 10 species